rnacentral:snRNA from 1 species
GCUCUGCUGCUUGGCAGCUGCUAAAAUUGGAACGGUGCAGAAAAGAUUAACAUGACCCUUGUACGAGAAUGAAACAAAUUUGUGAAGCUUUCAAUAUUUUU